CUACGUUCAGCGCUGCCAAACAAUCCUUCCUCAACGAACCCCUCUGCCCCGCUGCCGCUGCCGCCGCCUCAGGCCACCCCUAUGCCCGCAUCUGCGCCGGCGAGCCCUUCAGCGCCGGUGAGCCCUUUCGGACCGAACCCCUCUAUCCCCCGCCGCCACAUCACCCUACGAUGCCUUGACUGUUUUCCUCACCCAACUCUGCUCGGGGAUUUCGGGGAGGUGGAUUUCGGGGAGAAGCAUGGCGGGAACCUUGGCGCACGGCAGCCUUGGCGCAUCAGAUCCGCAUCGCCGGCGCCGACGGGAGCGACUGGUACAACGCCAACGCCGAGUCGUCGCUUCGCGUGGGAGAACGGGCUCGUGCCGUAGAUGAAUCAGGCGCCGGCUCUGUUCUCUCUCCGUAUUGAAUCGCCUGAUGGAAGGCGUAUUUUGCUUCGUUUGAGGCGAAGAGACGGCAUCGGCUGGCCGUUGUACAUGCCCUAGCCUCGCUCCUGGGCAGCCACGAUGGGAGAAGGGUUCCGCGGCGGAGCAACAGGAGCACCAGCACCAGCAUGCCCAUAUCGAUGUGCUGCAACAUUGGGGCGGGUGACGACCAGGCCUCCCCCCAUGGCGGCCUAGCACUAGCAGACACGAGUAUGCAUUCUUCCCUUGCUACUUCGCUAGGUGGAUCAGAUCCGUGCAUUUCGGAAAUCGGAAAUGUGAAUGCUAGUGUGCAUUGCUGAAUGCUGAUUCGGGGCACAGGACAUGAUACAAGAUGUCAAGAUGAUAGGAAAUUGUUUCUGCCUUGUAGUGCUUAGAGAACAUAGAGUCCUUUCAAGUAGUUCAUGCAUGGUUGAAUUCAGGAACAUGGACGACCUUUUUUCCCUUUUUUUUUUGCGGUUAGGAACAUGCAGAUCUUUACUAAGUUGAAAAUAGCUGCAACUUUGCUGGUACCUCCCAAUAGUUAAAUGUUACAUUGGCCAUCCCACAUGUGUUCUCUUGUGAUCUUUACAGGGGAAUGCGUUGAAGCAAACAUGACCCAACAAUACGAUACAUCAAAAAGGCCAGUUUUGUGUUUUGAUUGCAGGCUAAAAUCAGUUAUUUACGUCAAGGAAUCCAUAAAAUUCCCAUUCUCGGAGAUUCAAGCUGCAACUUAUGAUUUCUCAAAAGAGAACUUGUUGGGUGAGCGUGGUUUUGGGCAUGUGUACAGGGGCCAUCUGAACAAUGGUGAGCUCACAUUGCAGCCAAGCUGCGCAAGGAGGCAAGUUUAGAGGGCUAUACCGAGUUCGUUACUGAAGUGCAAGUACUCAGCUUUGCCCGGCACCGAAAUAUUGUUGGACACUUGGACUGCUUGGCUAUUGCUGCAAAGAGACCUAUAACAUCUUGGUGUACGAGUAUAUAUGCAACAAUUCCCUGGAGUGGCACUUAUUUGGUGUGUUGUUCGGUUGAUAUGCAUAUUCAAUACAUACUGAGAAGAUGGUGCAGAUUUAUUAGUUUGCUAUUGUUUUUUUUAUGAAACAAUUAGUUUGCUAUUGUUACUUGGUGAAACAGAUCAGUCCGCAAGCUCACUAGAGUGGCACAAGAGGCAUGCAAUUGCCAUAGGUAUAGCAAAAGGCCUGCGCUUCCUACAUGAGGAGUGCCACGCUGGUCCAAUCAUCCAUCUGGAUUUGCAACCAAGCAAUGCACUGUUGACACAUGACUUGUACUUAUGCUUGGGGACUUUUGGUUUUGCAAAAUGGAAGGCUUGCGAUGAUUCCACAAAGACAAUGAUUCUGGGGCAACCAGGAUACUGUGGGCGCCUGAGUUAUGCUGAAUAUGGUCGUAAGGUGCUUGAUGAACACAAAGGACGCUGCACACAUAUAUUGCAAUGGCUUGGGGACUUUUGGUUUUGCAAAAUGGAAGGUUUGCGAUGAUUCCACAAAGACAAUGAUUCUGGGGCAACCAGGAUACUGUGGGCGCCUGAGUUAUGCUGAAUAUGGUCGUAAGGUGCUUGAUGAACACAAAGGACGCUGCACACAUAUAUUGCAAUGGGCAGAGCCGUUGUUUGAGAGCCUUGCACUUAUGAACUAGUAGAUGACCGCAUCAAAGAUACAUAUGAUACUUUUGGGUUGUAUCAUCUAGCCAGAGCUGCGUAUAUUUGUGUCAGGACAAUUCCAGAGCAACGUCCUUCUUUCUAUGGGAGAGGAUGGUUUGGUAAACUCAACACAUGUAAUAGCAAUAAUAAGUUUAUAAUCACCGUAUCUCUUUCUCUCUAUGUGGACAGGUUGUCCGUCUUAUUGAGUUAGAAAAUGAGCACAUCAAACUUUUCAAAAAAAUAUAAAAAAAAUAUCCGUCUUAUCGAUAUUUUAUCCCUCGUUUUACAAACUGAUGUUGUAAGCAAAGGCGAAUCAAGUGUUGUGAGCUCACUAUUGAAGCUCAAGACAGAAUUCCCAUUAUAGAUGGGUGGAAUCAUUGCACUUCUUUGUAUCUUU